rnacentral:rRNA from 1 species
GACGAACGCUGGCGGCGUGCUUAACACAUGCAAGUCGAACGAAGUGGAGAAAGGGUGAGUAACGCGUAAUCAACCUGCACUUCAGAGGGGGACAACCGGUGGAAACGACUGCUAAUACCGCAUACUGAGGGAGGGGAUUGGGUAUGAUUAGCUAGUUGGAGGGGUAACGGCCCACCAAGGCGAUGAUCAGUAGCCGGUCUGAGAGGAUGAACGGCCACAUGGGGACUGAGACACGGCCCAGACUCCUACGGGAGGCAGCAGUGGGGAAUCUUCCGCAAUGGACGAAAGUCUGACGUAGCAACGCAGCGUGAGUGAUGACGGCCUUCGGGUUGUAAAGCUCUGUUAAUCGGGACGCGGUACCGGAAUAGAAAGCCACGGCUAACUACGUGCCAGCAGCCGCGGUAAUUC